AGAGUUUGAUCCUGGCUCAGGAUGAACGCUAGCUACAGGCUUAACACAUGCAAGUCGAGGGGCAGCAUGGUCUUAGCUUGCUAAGGCCGAUGGCGACCGGCGCACGGGUGAGUAACACGUAUCCAACCUGCCGUCUACUCUUGGACAGCCUUCUGAAAGGAAGAUUAAUACAAGAUGGCAUCAUGAGUCCGCAUGUUCACAUGAUUAAAGGUAUUCCGGUAGACGAUGGGGAUGCGUUCCAUUAGAUAGUAGGCGGGGUAACGGCCCACCUAGUCUUCGAUGGAUAGGGGUUCUGAGAGGAAGGUCCCCCACAUUGGAACUGAGACACGGUCCAAACUCCUACGGGAGGCAGCAGUGAGGAAUAUUGGUCAAUGGGCGCAGGCCUGAACCAGCCAAGUAGCGUGAAGGAUGACUGCCCUAUGGGUUGUAAACUUCUUUUAUAAAGGAAUAAAGUCGGGUAUGUAUACCCGUUUGCAUGUACUUUAUGAAUAAGGAUCGGCUAACUCCGUGCCAGCAGCCGCGGUAAUACGGAGGAUCCGAGCGUUAUCCGGAUUUAUUGGGUUUAAAGGGAGCGUAGAUGGAUGUUUAAGUCAGUUGUGAAAGUUUGCGGCUCAACCGUAAAAUUGCAGUUGAUACUGGAUAUCUUGAGUGCAGUUGAGGCAGGCGGAAUUCGUGGUGUAGCGGUGAAAUGCUUAGAUAUCACGAAGAACUCCGAUUGCGAAGGCAGCCUGCUAAGCUGCAACUGACAUUGAGGCUCGAAAGUGUGGGUAUCAAACAGGAUUAGAUACCCUGGUAGUCCACACGGUAAACGAUGAAUACUCGCUGUUUGCGAUAUAC
rnacentral:rRNA from 1 species